CCCGCGAAUUCAAUUGGGACACAAUUUUUAUUAUUGUAUAAACGGUAAAACGUAUGAUCGUAUUACUAUUAACAGAACAGUUUAAUUUACAGUAAGAUACUGCAAUGUCAGUGGUAUCAAUUUCUAUUUUCUUAUAAAAACCUUCAUAAUGACGAAAUAUCUCAAGAUGGCGACUGUGGGAAAGCGUGCUACGCAAAGCUCGGAAAUGAACUACGCAUGCGUAAAUUUGUCAAAAGCAAAUGUCCAGCUUAAUAGGGAAAUUUUUUGGUAUCGGGGAUGGGAAGUAAGGUAUCAUAUUGCUGAUCGCCGAAACAACCGAAAUUCAAGUAUAAGCUAUCACUCUGUGGC